GUUAUGCAUCUGACUCUUGAUUCCAACUCAGGUUGUGAUCUCACAGUUUGUGAGUUCAAGCCCUGCAUUGGGCUCUGCACUGUAUCAGCGCGGAGCCUGUUUAGAAGUCUCCCUCCCUCUGUCUCUGCUCCUACCCUGUGUGCUCUCUCUCUCUCAAAAUAAAUAAAUAAUCUUAAAAAAAUUAAACAUAGAGCAUUUUAACAUCAGAACACAAAUUAAGAACAAGAGACUCAUAUUUGAACCCAGAUGGGUUUGCAACCUGACUUUGCUCUUAGUAACUGGACUUACUUUAAGAAGUGAGCUAGUCAUUUGACUCUGUUUCUUCAUCUUAAACAUGGAUAUAAUAAUAGUCACUUUAUAGACUUAGUAGAAUAGUACCUAGUUUUUAUCUAAGAUAUAUUAACUGUUAUUAUUAUGAAUUGUAUCAAGUUUUCCUAAAGAGAUGACAUUUGAGAUUGGUUCUUAAAGGAAUCGUAACAAAUGGAAAUGUGAGUGAAGAGCAUUAUAAAUGACUGAACAACUUAUUUGAAGACCCAGAGAACUCAAAGAACGGGAGCCAGGGAGUGAUCUUUUGGAAAAGAGCAUACAACUGUGGAAAAAUGGGAUAAAUCAAGCCACCAUUCUUGCUGAGUUCUUACUUCACCAUAAAUUAGGCACCUGAAUUCUGCAGAUCUUGGAAAAUUCACAGUCCUAAUACACCCGUCAUCCACACAUUUGAAGAUGAGGAAACAAUUACUUUCAACAGGCAUAGAGACAGAAGCAGUAUCUACCAAGUAUAUGGAGAAGAGAAUCACCACCCCCCCCCAAAUCGGUCACCUCAAUCCUUCUGUAUCCUGCAAUAAAAUGGGGCACAAGCAAAUAAGAGCUUAUUUACUGCUGCAUAAAACUUUGGCUGAACAGUCAAGGAGAGGAAGUCUGCUUUCGAUUUCAACCAUCUGGAAACAUUACAUCUCAAAACUAAGAUCUUUCCAAUUUUCUUGUAGGAUAAGUAGCGUGUCUUCUCCUUAACUCUACACUCUGUAGACUAGAGCAGAUAUCAUAGAAAUAAUGAUCAUCAUAGGUAAAUUAACCCAUGUAAGUGUAUCGGUCCUCCAGAACUUUCAAAAACUUGGGGAAAAAUAUUAACAAUGGUCUCUUAAAAUGUGAAAUCCCCACACGUUUUAAAUUAGAGAAAUUAUUUGCAAAGUCAUCAUUGCUGUGUUUUGUAAUCCCUCGUAAAUGUAGAACAUAGCUCUCUUACAUCUAUUUGCCCUCAAAACUAUUUUUCUUCUUCAAAGCAAGUAAGAAUCACUUUUUUCUCAAGGAUAUCUGGGUAAAGAGAUGUGCCCUGAGUUUCUAGAUCAGCCCCCUGAAGUGUUGUUUGACACUUUGCAAGUCACUUAACUCCUUUGGAACUUCUGUCUCUCUCUGUGUAAAAUGAUACUGACCACCCACUGAACCUACGGGCAUGGAGCAGCCCUGGACACUGGAGUGUGCCAGUGCUUAGGAUGAAAGUGUCAUGUAAAUUCCAGGGAGGCAGUGUGGUCCAAUGUGGAAAGGGUUCAAUUAACCCCCAGGAGACCAAGGGGCUUUGUUUUCAAUUCAGAGGCUAAGUGACCCUGGAGACUACCUCUACUCAGAGCCUCGACUAUCUCCACAGGACAGUGUGCAGUCUCAAUCACUACUCAACUGAGUUUCAAACUUUUAUUUGUCUUGCUUAUUUCAAUUUUUUUUCUUAGUAAUUCCUCCUAUCCAUUUUCUUUUUCUAACACAUUUGAAUUUAUUUAUGUAUUUUUUUACUUAUAAAAUAUGAAAAUGGUUAUAAGAUUCCAGAACUCUUCUUGGGAAGUUAAUGAAAAUAAUAAACAGAAGUAGCAGUAACUACUUGGAGAGUUC
rnacentral:lncRNA from 1 species